GCAGAACAUUAAUGCCUAAAUUGAUUGUCUAAUUUAUUAAUUAGUAGAGUUACUCUGUUUGUUCUACCUGGCAAGUCACAACAACAGGUCAACACCAUUGUGGAAAUUUACUCAAAAGCUCCAGCUCCAACCAAUCAUGAAUGGAAAUGUGAGAAGAGAUGGAAGAACACUCUCCUUUAAACAUCAAGAGGAAUCAGGUUGUUUCAGUAUUGCAAUAAUGGGUUAAUAAUGAGAUGAAAGGGUUAAUUCAAAAUGUCAUGCUAAGAAUUAGGAAUUGGAAAGCUAAUUUGCAUUAUUAUAGAGAAGUGUACUUUUGACUUCUCAGCCAGCUUUGGGAAAAGCAAUUAUUCUGGGGGCAGGGGGAGGAAACUGUGUGAAGAACACCCUUUGCAGGGCUUUGGAUCAUGUGAUGGCAUCAGGAAUCCCUCACACCUCAGGAAUGGGAGGUGCUCCCACUGCAAAGAUCCUCCUCACUUCUAGCCUGGCAUCACUGAGGGUAGUACCACCACUCCCUUAGGGAAAGCUUUGGGAAAAGCAGCUCUAAGCUAGAAAAUGGAGGGCCAGGUCACUGAGAGCAUCCCUGAAAACAAGAGGAAAGGAGUCAGGUCUCAGUGCUCAAAUUCUUCAGAGUACAAAAGAGCCGGUGCCUGGGCAUUAACGUACCGCAGGAUGGACUUCUGAACGAGCAGCACAUUGCACCCAGCCUUCUUGAUCUGCUUCACCAGGUUCAGGAUGUAGGCUCUCUCCUCACGCAGCACUCUGUCCAUUUGAGCAUAAUCAGAAACAACAAUCUGGUUGUCCAUCUAUUUCAAAUAAAAAAAGAGAAAACCAA